rnacentral:rRNA from 1 species
AAUGAACGCUGGCGGCGUGCUUAACACAUGCAAGUCGUGCGCGAAGGCGGCUUCGGCUGCCGGAGAGCGGCGAACGGGUGAGUAACACGUGGGUAAUCUACCUGGGAGUGGGGGAUAACCUGGGGAAACUCGGGCUAAGACCGCAUACGGUGCUGGGACUUCGGUCCUGUUCUGAAAGCUGGCCUCUGCUUGCAAGCUAGCGCUCCCAGAGGAGCCCGCGGCUGANAGCUGGUUGGUGGGGGUAAUGGCCUACCAAGGCGACGAUCAGUAGCCGGCCUGAGAGGGUGAUCGGCCACACUGGAACUGAGA